GGAUGUGUAUUUACACUCAUUGAGGUUUUUACCAUUCAUGUCAUACUGCAGGAUUCACUGUCAGUGGGAGCACUGAAUGAAAAGCCUGUUCUCCAAAUCAGUCCCCCAUUUAUCUACUAAAUCUUUCCAUUUCAUCCAAUCUAAAGAACCAUCGCGCGUCUGCAGCGGAGCGCUGUGUACGGAAUUGGAACGGGAGCACUCGGCUGUUUGGUGUCACUUGAGACCUGGAUCUCAUCUGUGUGGGAACGAGGCGGUGGCUGUGGCAGAGAGACAGGCUGUGUGCUGGAAAACAAAGAGAGAAUUCUGGCUGGCUGGGCUGGUGUGA
rnacentral:lncRNA from 1 species